UUUCUCUCCUUAAUAUCCAGUCAGUUUGUAAUCUUUUACUUCCCUGAGAUCACAGGUAUCAUGCAAAAUGAUACUUUCUUUAUCAAAACAUUUCUUUUUUUUUUUUUUUUGAGACGGAGUUUUGCUCGUUACCCAGGGUGGAGUGCAAUGGCGCGAUCUGGCUCACUGCAACCUCCGCCUCCUGGGUUCAGGCAGUUCUCCUGCCUCAGCCUCCUGAGUAGCUGGGAUUACAGGCACGUGCCACCAUGCCCAGCUAAUUUUUGUAUUUUUAGUAGAGACGGGGUUUCACCAUGUUGACCAGGAUGGUCUUGAUAUCUUGACUCGUGAUCCACCCGCCUCGGCCUCCCAAAGUGCUGGGAUCUUUAUCAAACAUUUCUAACUGGUAAGAGCCGAGACUUUUUAGGGUUUGCCUCAGCAAUGUUGCCAGCAAUCUAUGGGUUUUCUCUACUUUCCUAGCCCCAGACAACCAGCCAGCAUGAUCUCUUAGACUCUUUGCUCUUACGGACGCCAUCAUUUCUCAAAUGUGCUCACCCUUGAGGGAUUAGAAUCUCAGAGCAAAUGGCUAAGGUACAGGCUGGACAUUCGCAGAUUAGAGUUCCCACUCUGGACAUGCCAUCACUGCCAGGUUCUAGAGGAAAAGAACAUGUUGCUUGGAGCUUCUUUGCCAGCAAAGGGCAGUGCCCAGAUGGCCUGAGGAGCUCCAUGGUAUAAGCAGUUAAAUGUGAUAGAGCAUGGACAUGAGGACUAAAGAGACCUGGGUUCACAUCCCAGCCUUUCCUCACACUAUCUGUGUGGCCUUGUAAGCUGAUAUUAAGUCUGCUUUGGCAUUUAUGGAAUAGCAAUAAUAACGUUACUUUGUUGUUGUUUUUGUUUGUUUUGAGAUGGAGUCUUGCUCUGUCUCCCAGGCUGAUGAUCUCGGCUCACUGCAACCUCUGCCUCCUGGGUUCAAGCAAUUCUCCUGCCUCAGACUCCCAAGUUGCUGGGAUUACAGGCUUGCUCUGGUGCCUGGCAGACGAACUAGCUCAGCCUUGCCGCACUUCCACCAGUUAUGCACAGGGUCCUCCGGAGGAAAAAGCCUGAGAGAGCUGGAGGUGGAGACUGUUGUGCACUGUGCUAGGGGCUGGCUGGCACCAACCAACAGUUCCAGACGGUGACCAGGAGAGGGCGUCAGGGAAAGGCGUGUAAUAAACGGGGAAUAAAGGAAUUUCAGAACAGGAGAGUACCUUAGAGAGAGCUCCCCGUCCAACCCCUUCGUUUCACACCAGAGGAGCCCGGCUCAGAGCAGGGAAGAGACUCUUCAGGAGGCCUAAGCGUCCUUCUGCAUUUUCAAAAUGGACCUACCUUCCAUUUUAGUUACCUCGUCUGACCAUUAUGUCUCUUUCUCCUUCGUUCAUUCACUCUGAGGACCGAAUCUUCGCUUAUUUUUAUCACAAUCACAUGAUUAAAAAACAAGUAGACCUGUGGCCUGGAGGUUGGUAUUCCUGGAUCCUUUU
rnacentral:lncRNA from 1 species